GGAGGGUUGGCCGAGUGGUUUAAGGCGCCUCACUGAUACUGAGAUAGGCGAGAAAUCGCUACGAGGGUUCGAAUCCCUCACCCUAUUGCA
rnacentral:tRNA from 2 species